rnacentral:piRNA from 1 species
UUGCUUAUCACAAGAUUUUCCAGGCUUC